CAGUCGCCGCGGGAAUACGAAGGGGGCAAGCGUUGUUCGGAAUUACUGGGCGUAAAGCGCACGUAGGCUGCUUUGUAAGUUAGAGGUGAAAGCCUGGUGCUCAACACCAGAACUGCCUUUAAGACUGCAGAGCUAGAACGUCGGAGAGGUGAGUGGAAUUCCGAGUGUAGAGGUGAAAUUCGUAGAUAUUCGGAAGAACACCAGUGGCGAAGGCGGCUCACUGGACGACUGUUGACGCUGAGGUGCGAAAGCGUGGGGAGCAAACAGGAUUAGAUACCCCAGUAGUCCCUGUCUCUUAUAU
rnacentral:rRNA from 1 species